rnacentral:other from 3 species
ACGGUUAUAAAUCAACAUAUUGAUUUAUAAGCAUGGAAAUCCCCUGAGUGAAACAACGAAUUGCUGUGUGUAGUCUUUGCCCGUCUCCCACGAUGGGCUUUUUUUUUA